rnacentral:lncRNA from 1 species
GUGUAGAAUAAAUGGAGACAGGUAGAUAGAAAAACCAGGAUUUGUGGAAGGUGCAAAGCUUCCAGCAAUGACUGCUGUGGGAGGUGGGCACCGGGUUUCACUGAGGGUUUUCAGUCAUGAGCGUUUUCAUGGAACUGGCUAGAUAACCCCUUCAUGGAAAACCAUCAGAGGCCAGUAUGCCACCUGGUUUUGUGAGACAUCCAAGCAGAAGUCCUGUCACAGGCCCUUUUAUUCAGUUCACGGCCUUGAAGCCACCGAUCUUCCAAGUGGAAACCUCCACCUUAUGUCAACGCUGCCAAAGCAGCCGAUUCGGGCCUUGCUGUCCCCUGGGGCUGCUUGUGGGGGAAGCAGCCUGGCUUGGGGCCUUCCCUGGUGAAUUUGAAGGCCUCGGGCCCCCAGGAGGCUCUUGAGGAGUUCAUCACCCAAAAUACACACCUUAAAGAGACAAUGGCAGAGGAACAGGGAGGGGCAUUAGGACUUGGUGGCAGCUUCCAGAGCAGUGGGCACCUCUGGUACUCUAACGCCUGGGACUCUUUUUGUGUUUGCACUUGAAGGGAGGGUGUAACGAGGACGGAGCCAGGCUCCUUUCAGUGGUGCUCAGUGCCAGGACAGGAGGCCGUAGGCCCAGCCUGGAGCCCAGGAGGUUCCCCUGACCCCCAGGCUGCCCAGAGGCUGUGGGGUCUCCUCCUUGGAGAGCUCCAGAAGCCGCCUGGCCACAGGCCCGGGCACCCUGCUCAGGGUGGCCCUGCUGGGGCAGGGGCUGGGCCCGAGGGACCCUGAGGUGCUGCCAAGCCAACCCAAUCCCUUGGUGCUGUUAAACCCAUGGCAGCUGGUGUGAAGCAAAUCCUUCUGUCCUCAUCCUGUCCCCAUGUUUUGUUGCCUGGCAGCGAAGCUGUGGUGGAAUUAUGUAUAAACCCCAAAGCACUCUUACUAGUAACCUGGCUCAAUGGCACCCUGUAGUCUGCCGAGCAAUUGUAACAGCGGCUGUGCAGGAACAGCAAAAAGACGACAAAUUCGUUCCUCGAAUGCAGCUGGACACUGGACUGAGAAGCUUGAGAAAGGCAAAGCAAUGGCAAGGUGAAGAGGGAAGGGGGGCGAGGGAAGCACGAGGUGACACUGGGGGGGGUGAUGCCAACACCUUAAAUGGGGUCUUAAGACCCCAUUUCCUUUCUUUUUCCACCAAGCCCUUUCCCUUACAAGGUUUGCUGGUGCCAUGGGUGGGCAAGGAGCAAAAAGGACAAGGUGGGAUGCAAAUAUCCCAGAGACUUGUGUUUUCCGUGCUAGCAUCCCAAUAACACAUCUGUCUCCAAGGUCUGAGCCUGUGCUGACUCACACAUCCAACCCAGCUCUUCUGCAUGGGACAAGUCCAAGACGAAUAUCCCGCAUCUUGGGAUGCCCAAAGGGCAGGGCAGAAGGUGCCUCACCCUGCCAGGGCUUCUGAAAUGACACCUUAAGCUUUUUCCCUGCAGGAAGGUGUCUUUGGUUGUGACUGGUGCUGAUGGCUGCCCCAAUUUCAGCCUGUUCAAGCCUCAGGGCACAGUGAGAUGUCAAUGUAGUGAUCAGCGUUCCCUGGUGGACUUUUCUGGACCUUGGGCCCACCUAAUGGUGCCAAGUUUCGGUGUCACAGAGGGCUGUGUCUGCAUAUGGGGUAGGAUAAGGAAUAAUUACCAUAUAAUUAUGAUCCAGGUAAAUGCUGCAGCCAACACAUGCCUGAGAAAGAGGGGUUCGUGGAGGGGAAAAGGGAAAUGGGAUUUUUAAAUUAGAGAUGGGUAAUUUAUUGACUGUGAGCUCAUGUCUCGAUGUGUCAUUUGAUGUGUCUUUUGACAAGUGCUAUGGCAUUGCUUGUAGGUGGUCCUGGUGAUCAUACACUGAGCUGAAGAUCUGAAUUUACAUCCUUGUUAAUAUCUGGAGGGACUGUGACAGCCUGGGGGAGUGGACAGCAAGCCGUGAGUUUAACGUACACAAUAUUUAAGACACAUCUGUUAUCAAACAACUGUGAAACUGAUUUUGUCCCUUUGUCCCAGCACAGGUUUUUCUCCGCUUUGUAUUUGCUCCCUGGGAGAAGGGGAAUGGUGGGGGCUUGUUGAAGGGCUGUUGAUUAAAUCACAAAAAUGUGAAUAUUGGCACCGAGGCUGGAAAAGAGCAGCGCGGUUGCCCACUCCCCUCUCAGUCCCCACAGGUUUGUUCUUCACCAGGGAUUAUUUGUGCCCUCGUCUGUCCCGUUUGAAAUGUCACAUCUCCUGCUGCAAUUGGAAGGAGCUUUUAUCCGUGGGGUGUGUGUGCGUGUGUAUGUGU